CGCGGAUCUUCCAGAGAUUAGAGUUUGAUCCUGGCUCAGGACGAACGCUGGCGGCGCGCUUAACACAUGCAAGUCGAGCGAGAACCUGGCCUUCGGGCCUGGGGAAAGCGGCGAACGGGUGAGUAACACGUGGGCAACCCACCCUUGGUACCGGGAUAGCCCGGGGAAACCCGGAUUAAUACCGGAUGGCCCAACAGCUCUUCGGGGCGGUUGGAAAAGGUAGCUUCGGCCUCCGACCAAGGACGGGCCCGCGGCGGAUUAGCUUGUUGGUGAGGUAACGGCUCACCAAGGCGACGAUCCGUAGCUGGUCUGAGAGGACGAUCAGCCACACUGGGACUGAGACACGGCCCAGACUCCUACGGGAGGCAGCAGUGGGGAAUCUUGCGCAAUGGGCGAAAGCCUGACACAGCGACGCCGCGUGGGGGAAGAAGGCUCUCGGGUUGUAAACCCCUUUCAGGAGAGACGAAGCUACUCGGGUGAAUAGCCCAGAGGGUGACGGUAUCUCCAGAAGAAGCCCCGGCUAACUACGUGCCAGCAGCCGCGGUAAUACGUAGGGGGCAAGCGUUGUCCGGAUUUAUUGGGCGUAAAGAGCGUGUAGGCGGCCAUGUAGGUCCGUUGUG
rnacentral:rRNA from 1 species